rnacentral:rRNA from 1 species
CGUAAGGCGCCGAAUGAGUCAUUAAAAAUUAACAUCAUCCGAUCCCUAGUCGGCAUAGUUUAUGGUUAAGACUACGACGGUAUCUGAUCGUCUUCGAUCCCCUAACUUUCGUUCUUGAUUAAUGAAAACAUCCUUGGCAAAAUGCUUUUCGCAGUAGUUAGUCUUCAAUAAAUUCAAGAAUUUCACCUCUGACAAUUGAAUACUAAUGCCCCCAACUAUCCCCAUUAAUCAUUACGUCAAUCCUAGAAACCAACAAAAUAGGAUCAAACGUCCUAUUUCAUUAUUCCAUGCUAAUGUAUUCAGGCGUUAGCCUGCUUUAAACACUCUAAUUUUUCAAAGUAACAGUCCUG